rnacentral:rRNA from 1 species
CCGGCGACCGGCGCACGGGUGAGUAACACGUAUGCAACCUGGCCGUGACAGAUGGAUAACCGGGAGAAAUCCCGCCUAAUACAACAUAAUGCCGGGAGGGGACAUCCCCUGCCGGUCAAAGGGGGCGACCCCGGUCACGGAUGGGCAUGCGGCGCAUUAGGUAGUUGGUGGGGCAACGGCCCACCAAGCCGACGAUGCGUAGGGGUUCUGAGAGGAAGGUCCCCCACAUUGGAACUGAGACACGGUCCAAACUCCUACGGGAGGCAGCAG